ensembl:lncRNA
ACUCACUAAACCCUGUAUCUAGUUUUAAACCUAAAAGAAACGUUUCACUACCUUUAAUUUAAUUUGUUUUCAUUUAUGUUUUACUUAAAGUCAGCUAGUCCCCGUAAUGUGUGCUAAUCCCCAAAAUAAUCCUUUAAAAUCCAACGCACAGUGUUUAAUUGUGAAAAGCUGGGACAGGAAGUUGUAGAUUUAUGCUGGUUAGCGUAACAGCGGUUGCCGCCGGGGUCUACGGGACCGUCCCUCCCAGGAAGACAGAACCCGACACCGCCUCCUGCUCCUCCUGCCUCCGUCGUUGAGGGCCGUCCUGGAGAGCGGUUCGCCGUCUGUUCUUCGUAGUGGACACCGUGUCAUCACUCAUUUUUAUUCAUCGAGCUGGUUAGCAGCCUUUUCUAUUUAAUUCAGUUGCUUGUUUGGGCUUUUAGCCAGAGAGUGUGUGAGGGACGGACACAUUUAGAUUCAGACAACGUGACUGCAUGCUACGAGCGACGAGAAAUAACGGAAAGCAGGAGCAGCGAAAAAGCCUGAAAAGGACCGGUUGUUGAUUUCACCAAGAUAAACAACUGGCACAACAAGGUCUUCCAGCUGAAGAGGAAGUGAAACUUCUUGUUGAACAUGGGAGCUAAAAGUUGUGAAACACUGCACAAAACCAGAUACGGACAUUUGAUCAUGAAAUAACCAGUUUCGUAGCUUUGCUGGAACCAAUGAUUUGCAGUUUAAAGAUCCAGAGACACUUAGACAUUAACAUCUGCUUUUUAGAAAAACAGAAGCAUAACUUUAUUUCUCUGCAGGUGAGCAAAGCAGGUGUUUUUUAGGGCAUCUAACGAACAUGAGCAGGGCAGACAGCUGGCAUAAAGUGGGCGCUGCAGGGGUCCUAACCUUAGAUUACAGUUUAGCAGAUUAGAGCUAAGCAGCAACCACCUUAAGCUCACCAGCCCCAUGAAACUCACGCUUCUAGCCAACAGAGCGUGCACAAAAACAUCCGCACACAAACACACACCCACUGGCACAGCUGUAGAACACAAUUAAAUUAGUGCAUUUGGCAGACGGUGUGCAAACCUAGCUUUGCACCAUACACACAUUAAAUCACAGGCAUAAAGAUGUGCACAUACACACAUAGUCUGGGCUAGAGGACAGAUGCUACGCCCUCCCCUCCUCCCGUCAUCCUCUCAAAGCCAGCUGGAGAGAAGAUGAGAUUUGGGGCUGAUUGGUUUUGUCUAUUUUUCCAUCACGCCCUGUGCGCCUCACUCCAUCCACCACUUUCGCCUUUCCACGGCACAGCCUCAUCCAUGGACAAAUAGUCAUCAUAAAAAUCUGGCAUCUGCACCAGUUUGAAAUAAACAGUGACAGGAC